rnacentral:rRNA from 1 species
AUUGAACGCUGGCGGCAUGCCUUACACAUGCAAGUCGAACGGUAACAGGUCUUCGGAUGCUGACGAGUGGCGCACGGGUGAGUAAUACAUCGGAACGUGCCCGAUCGUGGGGGAUAACGGAGCGAAAGCUUUGCUAAUACCGCAUACGAUCUACGGAUGAAAGCAGGGGACCGCAAGGCCUUGCGCGGACGGAGCGGCCGAUGGCAGAUUAGGUAGUUGGUGGGAUAAAAGCUUACCAAGCCGACGAUCUGUAGCUGGUCUGAGAGGACGACCAGCCACACUGGGACUGAGACACGGCCCAGACUCCUACGGGAGGCAGCAGUGGGGAAUUUUGGACAAUGGGCGAAAGCCUGAUCCAGCCAUGCCGCGUGCAGGAUGAAGGCCUUCGGGUUGUAAACUGCUUUUGUACGGAACGAAAAGACUCUUUCUAAUAAAGAGGAUCCAUGACGGUACCGUAAGAAUAAGCACCGGCUAACUACGUG